rnacentral:rRNA from 1 species
AGAGUUUGAUUCUGGCUCAGGACGAACGCUGGCGGCGUGCUUAACACAUGCAAGUCGAACGAGAAGAGAUGAGAAGCUUGCUUCUUAUCAAUUCGAGUGGCAAACGGGUGAGUAACGCGUAAGCAACCUGCCCUUCAGAUGGGGACAACAGCUGGAAACGGCUGCUAAUACCGAAUACGUUCUUUCCGCCGCAUGACGGGAUGAAGAAAGGGAGGCCUUCGGGCUUUCGCUGGAGGAGGGGCUUGCGUCUGAUUAGCUAGUUGGAGGGGUAACGGCCCACCAAGGCGACGAUCAGUAGCCGGUCUGAGAGGAUGAACGGCCACAUUGGGACUGAGACACGGCCCAG